rnacentral:rRNA from 1 species
AGCGGUGGAAUGCGUAGAUAUAUGGGAAGAACACCAGUGGCGAAGGCGGCUCUCUGGUCUGUAACUGACGCUGAGGCUCGAAAGCAUGGGUAGCGAACAGGAUUAGAUACCCUGGUAGUCCAUGCCGUAAACGAUGAGUGCUAAGUGUUGGGGGGUUUCCGCCCCUCAGUGCUGCAGCUAACGCAUUAAGCACUCCGCCUGGGGAGUACGACCGCAAGGUUGAAACUCAAAGGAAUUGACGGGGGCCCGCACAAGCGGUGGAGCAUGUGGUUUAAUUCGAAGCAACGCGAAGAACCUUACCAGGUCUUGACAUCUAGUGCCAACCUAAGAGAUUAGGCGUUCCCUUCGGGGACACUAAGACAGGUGGUGCAUGGUUGUCGUCAGCUCGUGUCGUGAGAUGUUGGGUUAUGUCCCGCAACGAGCGCAACCCUUAUUACUAGUUGCCAGCAUUAAGUUGGGCACUCUAGUAAGACUGCCGGUGACAAACCGGAGGAAGGUGGGGAUGACGUCAAAUCAUCAUGCCCCUUAUGACCUGGGCUACACACGUGCUACAAUGGACGGUACAACGAGUUGCGAACUCGCGAGGGUAAGCUAAUCUCUAAAAACCGUUCUCAGUUCGGAUUGUAGGCUGCAACUCGCCUGCAUGAAGCUGGAAUCGCUAGUAAUCGUGGAUCAGCAUGCCACGGUGAAUACGUUCCCGGGCCUUGUACACACCGCCCGUCACACCAUGAGAGUUUGUAACACCCAAAGCCGGUGAGGUAACCUUUUAGGAGCCAGCCGUCUAAGGUGGGAUAGAUGAUUAGGGUGAAGUCGUAACAAGGUAACCCGAAAGGGCGAAUUCGUAACCCGC